rnacentral:lncRNA from 1 species
UCUGUUUCAGUUGGUUCUGUGAUUACUUGUGCAGCGGCGGCUUCCACCGCUGGCUCAGGCUCUGGCUCAGGUACUGGUUUAUCUACGGUGGUGGUUGUAGCUGCUUCUGCUACUGGUUCAGGUACUGGUUUAUCGACCGUAGUUGUGGUUGUAGCUGCUUCUGCUACUGGUUUAUCGACAGUAGUGGUGGUUGUAGCUGUAGCUGCUUCUGCUGCAACUGUUGUUGGUGCAGGAAGAGCUUUACUGCUUGUUGAUGGAGGAAGAAGAGCCUUUCCUAUAUCCUGUUUUUCUAUGUUAAUUAUAUAUAGAACGGGUUUCAUUCUAAUGGAGAUAUGUAUCUAAAUUAAUUACCUUUAACUCAUCAACAAGUUCUUUAGGGGCAACCUUUGUGUUCAAAAACUCAUCCACCUGUUUUAGAGUUAGCUUUCGGUCCUGUAGAGGAUAUAGAAAAGAACCAUCAAAACAUCACCAACUGCGAUAAACACAUUCAAACUGAAUCAGCAGUGAAUCUUGAUGAAAGAAAAGAUGAGAAGAACUUGCCUCAGCAAAUAAAAGUUUCUUGCCUGCAAACUGAACUAAUGCUGCUGAACCUAGUAAUUGGAGUAUGGUUUCAAUCUGUAAGGAUGAUGAUAGAGAGAAGAUUAAUCCAGGAACUUUCAGGAGACAAGAAGAUGGAGAAAGAAGAAUAACACAGAAAACUGACCUCUGUAAAUGCAAAAGCACUUAAUCCAGCAGCAGCUGCUACUCCAAGAGCAACAGACACACCAUCAGCACUCUCCUGUACAUUAUGUUAAAUCAUUUUUCAAUGUUUGUUGCAGAAACUUAUAUUAAAUGUAUGUAAAAUUGGAUACUCACACCAAAUACACCGCUGAUGCUAUCCGUCAAACUGCUCAAAUCAAGACUGAGAGUCUUCUUUGGCUCUAUCCAAGGCAAGCUGCUAUUCUGUAAACCAGAAAAGUAAUGAAAACUGUGAAAAUAAGUCAAAUCGAAAGGAUUUUUGAAAGAAAACAUUGUGGGAUAAGAGGAAGAGGGACACACACCAACCAGCCUCUAGGUCCCUCUGCACCAUCUUUAAUCGCGUAAGCAGAUUUGAAUCCAUUAAGAGCCACCAAUUCAGCAACAAGCUCGGAGUUUCCAUCAAACCUGGCUUCCCACUCAAAGAGUUAGACUGUAUUAACAAAAAUGAGUGCAACCUAAAAUGCUUUACAAUUUCUCUCCAACAUUUCCGAAUUACGAUGAUCAAGUUUGAAUAUUCUUCCAGAAAACAAACAAUACAGGUUCAAAGAGAAUUAAGGAAUGCUGAGACUAUAAUUCAGUGAUCAAACUACAUAAGAAGUUAAAUCAAUGUAACAAGCCUCAAUAUUAUUAACUUUUGAUGAUUUUUUAAGGUCCCAAAAGCCUUACUUGUCCAGAAUGAACAAUGUGGUGUUCUCAGGAUCUUUAAACUUCAAGGAAAGCUUCUUCAAGAAACCAGGCUUGUCGUCUCCGUUGUAAACAGUUGAAACCGUUUUUUUACCCAAACCCUUAAUAUUAGGACUGCCCACUUGUCUGACAUCAGCAGUGGUUCUUAUGUCAAGCAAUUGAGCAUUAUCAUCAGUACCCAACUUGGUAUAAGCAUUCUUAGCAGACUCAACUCCCCAAGCUUUAGGCUUUUUGUUCAAAACCUGAGACAGAACAAACGGAACAGCCAAUGCAGCAACUCCACCGGCAAUAACAAGAGGAUUGUCUGUGACGAAAUUGGAAAUCC